AUACGGGGGGGGCAAGCGUUGUUCGGAUUUACUGGGCGUAAAUGGCUCGUAGGCGGCCACUUAAGUCGGUUGUGAAAUCCCUCGGCUCAACCGGGGAACUGCGACCGAUACUGGAAGGCUUGAAGCCGGGAGAGGGAUGCGGAAUUCCAGGUGUAGCGGUGAAAUGCGUAGAUAUCUGGAGGAACACCCGUGGCGAAGGCGGCAUCCUGGACCGGUCUUGACGCUGAGGAGCGAAAGCUAGGGUAGCAAACGGGAUUAGAAACCCCGGUAGUCC
rnacentral:rRNA from 1 species